AAAUUAAAUUUUAAGUAUAAAACAUGAUAUAACAUAUUUUUUAUUUUAAAUGUCGACCCAAUUUUUAAAUUAUCAGCCAAGUCACCCUUCACCAGGGUACCUCUCAAUUCUCGGCAAUCCUCCAGAGUUCAAGUAUUUGAUUUAUGAUUUUUUUUUACUGUCAUACUACCUAUAAUAUAAUAGCUAUAGAUCUUUAUUAUUCUCACGAUUGAAUCUGUUUAACAAUAUUACGACUGAAAACCAAUAUGUUCUUCCUAGCACAUGAGCACUAAGGUAGAGCAUAAAAAGUAUCAUCUACCAAGAUUACUAUACCAUGCGUAAAAAUAUGUCAAUAAAAUUAUUUUUAUACAUAAUUGAAACGCAUAAUGACGGUAGUUGUAGGCACCAGCUAUAAGAAGUACACUAUAGUAUUGCUAGUUUACAUGAUUUUUCCACGUAACACUAACAGUCUUUUGUUUUAUGAUCGUCUAUUAUUGGCCAUUAUGCGAUACGGAUUUCGCACGUGUUCUGUAGUGUGUGCGUGGGGGAGGAGGGGGGUUCUUGGGGGUCACAGAAGUACAGAACGUUCUGACCAAAAUUAAAAUUCGUUUCGAUAUCCAUCUCGGGACUCUUGAUUUCUAUCUAGUCAGUGACCAAACGCAAACAAACGGUUGAAGAAAAACUCGGCCGUUGGUUUCACGCCGUGGCUGUUAUAUUAUAUUAGACACGGCACGCGCAGCGCAUAGUGGAUGCAUACGACGGAGUGCCGGACUGCAGCUGACGGGCCCCAGACGAAGACAAUGAUGAUGGUUUAAUGGCCCUAGAGCGACGUUGCCAGUUGCUGUUGGAGACCCGACGUAGUUGUUGCAGUCGUACACCAGUACCGCGGGUACGCGCGACGUUGCCGAGUCGUCCGUGCGCGAUAUAAAAGUUCCGUGAUAGAUAUUAUUCCGCGACGGCAAUGUGGCGUCACUGUGCUCCAGGAGAAAGAGCCGCCGGGAAAACAUCGUUACGUAACGAGAAUAGUAAACUAUACAUAGGUGCAACGUCGCCUAUUGUGAAUUCAAUCAAGACAAACGUCUAAUAAGUAAAACUAAUCGUUUAGUUUAAAAAUAACCUUCAUUGAAGUAAAACAACAAUGAGGCGUCAACACUGUUACAACCAAGACACAAUAAAUAUUAUAGAAAAAAUAAUAAAAUCUACUAACUUCAACUUAAAUAAAUGUUGUGAGUAUAUA